AUGAUAUUUAUAGUGUGCUUGAUUUAUUUAACAGCACCUCCAUUCUGUGUCUCAGGAGCAUCACUAAGUGACCAAGUUCAUCAGAAUCCACCUCAUCUGAUAACAAAUGCUGAGAAAACAGUUCAGCUCAGCUGUUCUCACAAAAUUAAAGACUAUAACAUGAUAUUAUGGUAUCAGCAGCUGAAGGGUGACAGUGCACUAAAUCUUAUUGGAUAUGUGAAUUACAAAGAUCCAACCACUGAAAACCAUAAAACUCAGUUUACCAUCGGAGGAAAUGGUGCAGAAUCCUCUACUCUUAACAUUACAUUAAAAAAGGAACAUGUUGGGAGUACUGUAGUAUAUUACUGUGCUGCCAGUAGAGCACAGUGUGGAAGAUCCUUUAAUCACUCUUACAAAAACCUUCUGUUAAACCCUGUCACCACAACAUUAUUAGCACCUGAAUGCACCCAUGCACCCCCAAACAUGAUCACUCAGUGCACCCAUCUUAAGUUGUAUGAUUAAUAUUGUAUAUAUAUAUAUAUAUAUAUAUAUAUAUAUAUAUAUAUAUCUUAUUGUCUUUAUUUGUUUCUCUAGUUUAUGCAUUUAUACAAACUUCUACUACUUAAUUUUGUCUGUUUUCAACAGGAGCAUCACUAAGUGACCAAGUUCAUCAGAAUCCACCUCAUCUGAUAACAAAUGCUGAGAAAACAGUUCAGCUCAGCUGUUCUCACAAAAUUAAAGACUAUAUCAUGAUAUUAUGGUAUCAGCAGCUGAAGGGUGACAGUGCACUAAAUCUUAUUGGAUAUGUGUAUUACAAAGAUCCUACCACCGAAAACCAAUAUAAAAAUCAGUUUACCAUCGGAGGAAAUGGUGCAGAAUCCUCUACUCUUAACAUUACAUUAAAAAAGGAACAUGUUGGGAGUACUGCAGUAUAUUACUGUGCUGCCAGUAGAGCACAGUGUGGAAGAUGCUUUAAUCACUCUUACAAAAACCUUCGGUUAAACCCUGUCACCACAACAUUAUUAGCACCUGAAUGCACCCAUACACCCCCAAACAUGAUCACUCAGUGCACAUCACUGUUACGUUUUACCUUGUAGUAUUCACAGCAGAACAGACGAGAGUGGACACUAGCUUCAACUUCACUUGUUUUUCUUUAUUCUACUCUUUCGUUUCAACCAAACGUUCAUUCCCAUGUGAGCUACAUCUCCCUCUACAGGUUAAACCAUAACUCAAUACACAACAUAUUUCCCCUUUUGUUUAGGAAGCUUACCAGGUAAAAUAAAAAUGACUACGCCGUCUCUUAAAUCACUUAGACCUCGGCUGUUAUAAAAUGCAAACUUAAAUGUUUCCUUAUUUAUACUUAACAUUAACCUUCUUUUCUUUUCAACAUUUGUAACAAUUUAACAGUAUAACAGGCAACCUUAUGUUGAUUACACUUCUAACAAAACAUUUAAACAAACAAAUUCACAAGCAAAACAGCAUUCAGAUUAUUAUUAUUAUAUAUAUAUGUUUUCCUUCACAUUACAAUGUCCUUGUUUUUUUUUUUACUUCGAUGUCAUUCCCUCUUAGUUUCCCCCCCAAAGGCCAUGAGAAGGAUUACUGUACGUAAUCAUUAAGCCAUGCAGGCUUUUUUCUGACCCUGCCAGGCAUCCGCACAUCACCGAAGGGUUGUGCCGGUCCCGACUCAGGUACUGGAACAUCCAGCAUUUGUGCAGAUCCCAGCACAGGUACCAGAACAGAACUGUCAAAGGUAUCUUUUACCCUGUCAGGAACCAGUGAGAGAUGAGUAGCGUUCCAAGUGCGUCCAUCUUCCAGCACAUACGCAUUUGCACCAGCUCUCCGUACCACCCUGGCAGGUCUAUGGAAUUUUGACAGUCCUUUCUUGACAUGGAAGGGUUUCCGUACUCUUACUAGGCUUCCCUCUUUGAUCUUAGGUACUUGUGCACCUCUCCUCGCAUCUGUGUAAACUUUUGAUGCAUUUUGUUUAGAGAUGACACGGUUGCGCAGUUGCUUUUCUGUCAGCAGAGUAGCUUUGCUUGCUGGACCGAUGUUCACCUUUGUGCGCAUUUUCCUGUUGAGUUCAUAUGGUGACACUCCUGUUGUACUGUGUGGAGUUGCACGAUAUGUAAGCAAGAAGUCCUGGCAAACACACAGCAGACAGGAAGGUAGUGACCAGCCGUGGUUGUGAUUGAAUGUGUAAAAGCCACCUCCGGCCACUUUGUAUAAUAAUCAAUCAAAGUCACUGCAUAGCGGCAGUCCCAGUUUGCUGACUCACACGGUCCGACGAUGUCAAUUCCUACUUUCUGCCAUGGACCGUCUGGCAGUGGGACUGGCUGAAUUGGAGCAGCAUGCGUCUUAGCGCUUUUAUCAUUCAUCUGGCAGGUCACACAUGCACUAAUGUUGUCCUGCACCAACGUGUCCAUGCCGGGCCACCAGUAUAAGUCACGCAGCCUCUGCUUGGUGCGCACAACACCCUGGUGAGUUUCAUGUGCCAGGUCCACCAGCUGUUUUCUCAGAGCUACAGGCACUAGCCGUCGGUGGGGGCCCCUGUAUAUUGUCACAUCUUGAACUGAGAGUUCAUCUCUAGUAGCAAAGUAGGGUUUGAGCACCGCCGGUAGAGAUUUGCUGUUUUAGGCCACCCUUUUUUUAUCUGUGCCCUGAUGGCAGUAAGCUCUGGGCAUACUUCACAUGCCCCAGCGAAGUCCUUUGCUGAGAGAGCUUUCAGUUCUGUGUCCAGCAAAGCUACAAGUUCGGGCUCAGUCACUGGCUCUGCAUUCUCUUCUGAUGGUAGGGGCAGACGAGAGAGACAGUCAGCAGCAUAGUUUUGUGCUCCUG
rnacentral:lncRNA from 1 species